rnacentral:rRNA from 1 species
GACGAACGCUGGCGGCGUGCUUAACACAUGCAAGUCGAACGGAAAGGCCCUGCUUUUGUGGGGUGCUCGAGUGGCGAACGUGUGAGUAACACGUGAGUAACCUGCCCUUUACUUUGGGAUAACUUCAUGAAACUGGGGCUAAUACCGGAUAUGAGCUCCUGCUGCAUGGUGGGGGUUGGAAAGUUUCGGCGGUUGGGUAUGGACUCGCGGCUUAUCAUUUUGUUGGUGGGGUAGUUGCUUACCACGGCUUUGACGGGUAUCCGGCCUGAGAGGGUGACCGGCCACAUUGGGACUGAGAUAAGGCCCAGACUCAUACGGGAGGCAGCAGUGGGGAAUAUUGAACAAUGGGAGGAAGCCUGAUGCAGCAACGGCGCGUGCGGGAUGACGGCCUUAGGGUUGUAAACCGCUUUCGCCUGUGACGAAGCGUGAGUGACGGUAAUGGGUAAAGAAGCACCGGCUAAAUACGUG